UACGUAAGUGGCGAGCGUUAUCCGGAAUUACUGGGCGUAAAGCGUGCGUAGGCGGUUUAGUGUGUGGGAAUUGAAAGCCCGGGGCUCAACCCCGGGAGGCGGGUGGAUACUGCUGAGCUCGAGUCCGGAAGAGGAGUGUGGAAUUCCUGGUGUAGCGGUGAAAUGCGCAGAUAUCAGGAGGAACACCAAUGGCGAAGGCAGCACUCUGGGACGGUACUGACGCUGAGACGCGAAAGCGUGGGGAGCAAACAGG
rnacentral:rRNA from 1 species